UGGGGAAUAUUGCACAAUGGGGGAAACCCUGAUGCAGCGACGCCGCGUGAAGGAAGAAGUAUCUCGGUAUGUAAACUUCUAUCAGCAGGGAAGAAAAUGACGGUACCUGACCAAGAAGCCCCGGCUAACUACGUGCCAGCAGCCGCGGUAAUACGUAGGGGGCAAGCGUUAUCCGGAUUUACUGGGUGUAAAGGGAGCGUAGGCGGCGACGCAAGUCAGAAGUGAAAGCCCGGGGCUCAACUCCGGGACUGCUUUUGAAACUGCGUUGCUAGAUUGCGGGAGAGGCAAGUGGAAUUCCUAGUG
rnacentral:rRNA from 1 species